rnacentral:rRNA from 1 species
AUGGAGGAAGCGGGAUUCCUGCAGAGGCAUCCAUGGCUCGUGUAUGUCUUUAUGCUGCUCGCCGGAUCGACCGGGUUCUACCAAUUCUGCAUGCUUUUCCUUACCCAUACUAGCGCGCCGCUCUUCUCCGUGGCCGUCUCCGGCUUCGAGGGCCUCGACGCCCGGAGAGGCGCUGGCAGCGCGCCGCCCACCUUCCAUGUCAUCCUCCGCGUGAAGAACAACGACUUCCUCCCGCGGCACUGCUUCAAGGAGGGGAGCGCCGUGAUGGAACUGGACGGCGUGCCGCUCGCGCGCGCCGAGGUCGACAAGUUCUGCGUCCCGGGACGGACCGCCGUGGACGUGCCGUUCCUGGCCACUGGCGGCGGGCUGGGGCUGCCAGACGCGGUGUACGAGCGCGUGCGCGGCGGCGGCGUGCCGUCGUUGGUGGUGCGGGUGAGGCUGGACGGGAACGCCGUGAAGACCACCUCGGAUCUCGGCCGCUUGACUCCCAUGCUGGUCAGGUGCACGGUGACGCUGGAUGGCCUGCCAUCGGCUGACUGCCGGCGGUUUCUCAUGUUGGAACGAGUGUAA